rnacentral:lncRNA from 1 species
GGAUAGAAAUUGUUUAUGGAAAGUUCGUUCAUCGUGUUCAUAGGAAAAUGUAUGAUAGAAAUUGUUUAUGGAAAGUUUAUUUAUCGUGUUCUUAAGAAAUGUAUGAUAGGAAUUGUUUAAGGAAAGUUUGUUUAUCGUGUUCUUGAGAAAUGCAUGCUAUUGAUUUGCGGGAUGGAUUAUUGAGUUAUGUUAGGAUGUUUAUGUGAGAAAUGAAUGUUUGAUCUUGAGAAUCUAGGUCAGAAAUUUAUAAUGCGUUUAAGGAAAGAAUAAAUGAAUUGACGAAAAAGGUUAAGGAAAAAGGAUUAAGGAAAUGUAAUGGACCGACGGGUCACAAGUUGGCUACGGCCGCAGGUUAGGCUUUGGCCGCAGGUUUGGCUUCGGCCGCAAGAUUAUGGACCUUCGGGUCGAAAGGUUAAGAAAUGUUAAGAAAUGAAAAGGAUUUAACUAGUUACGAAGGGAAUGAUAGAACCGGAUGCUAGGUUGUUAGUUUGAUUUAGUAUUGUUUAUUGGGCUAUAGUGGGCGGUAUUGAGCGUCCUCACUGAGUACUUUUGUAUGCUCAUGCCUCCUUUUGUGAUGCAGGUGACGAGUAGUUGAUUGGACCGGAGCGCGGGACAAUGAAGACCAUCGGAGCGAGUUUUAUUUUUUUAUAAACUUGGGAUUUCUAUUGGAUGUUUUAUGAAUCAUGUACUAUUACUCUACAUUAUUUUCUCGGAUUUAUUAAUAAAGUUGGAGUUUUGUUCGAGAGCGUCCAGAGACUGAUUUUAUUACCCGGGUUUA